rnacentral:rRNA from 1 species
UACGGAGGGUGCAAGCGUUAUCCGGAUUCACUGGGUUUAAAGGGUGCGUAGGCGGGCAGGUAAGUCCGUGGUGAAAUCUCUGAGCUUAACUCAGAAACUACCAUGGAUACUAUUUGUCUUGAAUGUUGUGGAGGUAAGCGGAAUAUGUCAUGUAGCGGUGAAAUGCUUAGAUAUGACAUAGAACACCAAUUGCGAAGGCAGCUUACUACACAAAUAUUGACGCUGAGGCACGAAAGCGUGGGGAUCAAACAGG